rnacentral:lncRNA from 1 species
UUUUAGAAUAUUAAAUGUCCAACUAAAAUAAUGUCCGCCACUUUCUUAAAAUACUCUUAAAAUCAUGGUUUAAUCUAUAAACCAAAAUAAGGGCAUAUUAGACUUUUUUUUUCUUUGGCAUUAGUCCCAAACUUACCAUUUUAGGGAAAUUUCUCUAAUAGAACGUCAAAAUAGGAAACUUGCUCUAUAUAAAUAGAGUAAAAGGAGUAAUUUACUAAUUAUUUAUUUUUUCCAAAUUCAAUUACUUGCUAAUCCUAAACAUUUGCACAUAAAAAUAUAAAUUAUAUUUGGAUAAUAUUUAUUUUUUGAAUUGUUAUAUUUCUAAUUUUGACAAAAUUAGAGCAAUCGUCAAGUAUAAUUCAAAGAUACAAUAAAUAAAGCUGAAAUUUCAUAUUUAUAAGAGCAAUUACUGAUAGUCAAUAUAUAUGACAAUCUUUUACGAGUGCCUGCCCAAAGAGAAGACAACGGUAAACCAUUACAAAUAAACAAUUUGAUACCGAGUAUUUACCUCGUACCCAAAGCAUUUAUGGGGAGAAGGAGCCACAAAUCUUGAAAUAACACACCAUUGCAAUUAAAUGAUUUGAUAUCGAGUAUUUACCUCAUACCUAAAGCAUUUAUGGAGAGGAAGAGCCAUGGAUCUUGAGAUAACAUUAGUCUUAUAUCCAAAAGGAUUUAGUUAUUGAAAAAUAUAUAUAAAAUAUAAUAAACUUAUUCAUUUAAUCUUUUUACCACCAUCUCUGCUAGCACUAUCAUAUGCUUGCUCCUUUCUGGCCUUUGCCAUAAUGACCCUUUGCAUAGCUUCCACAAACUUUGUCACUUGAUGUGUAUUCAUAUUUUCAUGUUCUUUGUCACAUAUUCUUCCGGUCUGACUCCAAUGGCCGGUUUCUGCCUCCGAAAACAACUCGUCUUGCCGGAGUCGGCACUUAUGAAGCUUCACAUACUUCAUUGGAGGAUUCUUUAAUUUGCUUGAUUAAUUUCUAGUUCUAUGAUCUUUCUUAUUAAGACAUAAAGCUAUAUAUAUAUGUGGAUGUAGG